rnacentral:rRNA from 1 species
GAUGAACGCUGGCGGCGUGCUUAACACAUGCCAGUCGAACGGAAAGGCCCUGCUUGCAGGGUACUCGAGUGGCGAACGGGUGAGUAACACGUGGGUGAUCUGCCCUGUACUUUGGGAUAAGCCUGGGAAACUGUGUCUAAUACCGAAUAUGACAAUUGUUGCGAUGCGAUUGUGGAAAGCUUUUGCGGUAUGGGAUGAGCUCGCGGCCUAUCAGCUUGUUGGUGGGGUAAUGGCCUACCAAGGCGUCGACGGGUAGCCGGCCUGAGAGGGUGUACGGCCACAUUGGGACUGAGAUACGGCCCAGACUCCUACGGGAGGCAGCAGUGGGGAAUAUUGCACAAUGGGCGCAAGCCUGAUGCAGCGACGCCGCGUGGGGGAUGACGGCCUUCGGGUUGUAAACUCCUUUCGCAACCGACGAAGCCUUUUGGUGACGGUAGGUUGAGAAGAAGCACCGGCUAACUACGUG